GGCCAGCGUGGCGUAGUGGGUUGAACGCUGGCCUAUGACUCUAGCGACUGGGGUUCGAUUCCCGGCUCGGCCA